UUAUCAUCCACAUUGCUGACCUGGAAGAUGCAUCAUUGUCUAUGAUAUCUGCAAUGGAAAUGAUCACUAGGCAAUUUCAGCCUUGCAAAUCUAACCCUUUGGAAUGAGUACACAUCCAGGAGUGAAGAAGACAAGCUCAACUGCCAUUCUCUGAGCAGUUCAAGGCAUACUGAGGUGCGGGAGUUGUGUGGUGGUCCACUCUGACUGCAAGCACCCCUUUCUUGAACCGAACAGAGUCAAGUGGAAUCAAAGGACAUUACCUGUUGAUUCUUGGGCAAGGCCCAGAAUUUGGUGGACAUACUUAAAGAAGAAAGGAAUCUUCAGCUAAAGUGUCUACGAUCAAUUCAGAUUUGGAGGGCAUGGAUCUUCUGACAGUAGGGGCCUUUCUAGGAUUUUUUGGUUGAAGAGAUGAACUUCAACUUGGUUCCAGAUUGGUGGUCCAGCUAUUCUGCUGGCAACAUUUUUCAGGGCAAGGCUUUUGCUACUGGAAUGAUUUAAGGAAGAUCCCUCAGUGUUUCAGAGUAAAGAUAUUUCUAAAGAAGUACCUGUGUCAUUGCCCAUCUUGAAGAUUGACUUUUAUGGAUUGCUCAAAUACUGAUAUCGGCUCAAUGUCAAUAUAUACUCCUACAUACAAAAUCCAUCUUCUAAUCAUAAUCACUAGGUGGAUAUUGUUAUGCAAGGAAGAGAUGUGAAUAUACAGGAAAUGAGAUCCUUAAAGGGGUUGCCAUCCAGAUGUUAGAUCAAAGAGAUUAUGAUUCAUUCAACCAAGUCGCUGGACUUUUGAAGGCCUAUCCAAGUCGUGGUGCCUUUGAGGUUGCGCCUGUUACUAUUCAAAACUUGGUUUUAACCAUUUAAGGCCAUGAGGUGUGAGGUCUUUUGAGAGUGAAAGAACUCAUAUUAAUCCAGCUCCUGACUCCUAAAAAAACAGUAACUCUUGUAAUUAAAAUGGGCAGCCCUCGCAUGACCUGCUGAAUCACAUCAAGGUUGAAGCAUUGGCCCUCCAAUCAAUGAUUAGUUCUAGGAGAGGGGAUGAGGUGCUGUCUUCUCCAACUUCUCCAACUGUGCCUGAACAGUCACACGUCAUGUCAGUGCAUAUAGAGAAUGAAGCAUCAGUCAACCAAACUACGCUGGAGUGGAGCAUAGAGUCCUGUGACAGAAGAAGAGGAGGAAGAGAAAGAAGAAUCAGAUCCCUAAAGGAGGGAAAAAGCCAGGAUUCGUUAUACAAAUUAAAUUUCUAAGUCUCAGGCUCUUUCUCCCCAAGGAAAUCAUCUUGCCAUGAGCCCUAGGGCCUGCUUGAAUGGAGAGCAAGAACUAUAGGAGGAUGUGUAGCUGCAAAAAUUUCUCAUCAAUAACUCAAUCUUCAGAACGUUAUGACAUACAGAAAAUCAAAGAUGCUGUGUCUUAGCAUUGAGCAAUAUGGGUGGUGCUAUGUCUGUAGUCUGGUCAAAUUCAGUAACUGUUCAAAACAAAAUUUCCUCUGGAAUACUAUUGAGAAAAUCUGGCAUUUGCAAAAAGGGCAGAGUUUAAAUAUGAGUCAGUCUUUCCAAUCAACAAUACCUCUUUUAAGAAAACCAACUAAAAGCUGUUUGCAUGCCGUUGAAUCCUUGUGAGCAGUUAGGCCACAGUCUAGGACAGAAAGAUGACACGGGGAAGGACUGAGGGCCAUCUGAGAACAAAGGUUGUUGCUACUUCUCAGAGUCAUUGAGACACACUGCAUGCUGUAGACUGCUUUGUGUAGCUGUUAUCACAUCUUGCUUGAGAUGUCAUUGGCAGAAUGUUCUUGGAAAUAAAUUAUAGAUAAAUAGCCAUCAUGGAGUUUGCUGGUUUCUAGAUAGCAAAAGAGAAAAGAAGCAGUUCCGGCCUGGCACGGUGGCUCAUGCCUGUAAGCCCAGCACUUUGGGAGGCUGAGGUGAGUAGAUCACUUGAGGUCAGGAGCUCGAGACCAACCUGGCCAACAUGGUGAAACCCUGUCUCUAUUAAAAAUACAAAAAUUAGCUGGGCAUGGUGGCAUGCGCCUGUAAUCCCAGCUACUCAGGAGGCUGAGGCAGGAUAAUCACUUGAACUCAGGAGGUGGAGGUGGCAGUGAGCCGAGAUUUUGCCAAUGCACUCCAGCUGGGGCAACAGAGCGAGACUCUGUCUCAAAAAAAAAAAAAAAAAAAAAGAAAGAAAGAAAGAAAAAGAAAAAGAAAAAAGAAAAAAAAAGAAGCAGUUCCUCCUCUAAUGAAAACAUACAACAAGAUAGUUUGAAAUUCAUUUCUGGCCCUUAGAGAAGAAGUGUGCCAUGCUUGGAAGACUGGAUUUUUAUAACAGAGAUGGCAGCUACAGAAUAAGAGUUGUUGAUACUUGGGAUCUGAAGUAGAGAUCAUUUCUGCAUACUGUCCCUUUUCCACUCACUAUACAGUGAAAUGAGUAGUUGCUUAAUAUUAUAAAAUUAAUUUUCCCUGCCAAAGCAACAGUGAAAGCCAAACAAAAUACAAAUAACCUUCUCAAGCAGAAUUUAUGUAACAGUUCCCAGAGAAACAUGGAUACCCUUUUUUGUUAAUCAGCAUUUCAUUAAAGUUAUGUUGAGUUACUCUUAGAGAAAACAGACAAAAGAAAUUGCAGCAUAUGUAACAGUUAAAAGAAUUAAUAACUGCAAUAUGUAAAGAGUAACACUAGUUAAUUAGUAAAAACAAAUAACCAAUAAUACAUGGACAAAGAAUAAGAAAUUCACAGAAGAAAUACAGUUAUUAGUGAGAAGCAAUGGCUCACGCCUGUAAUUCCAGCACUUUGGGAGGCCGAGGUGGGCAGAUCACCUGAGGUCAGGAGUUCGAGACCAGUCUGGCCAACAUGGUGAAACCCUGUCUCUACUGGAAAAUACAAAAAUUAGCCAGGUGUGGUGGCGGACACCUGUAAUCCCAGCUACUCAGGAAGCUGAGGCAGGAGAAUCACUUGAACCUGGGAGGUAGAGGUUGCAGUGAGCCGAGAUCAGGCCAUUGCACUCCAGCUUGGGCGGGAAGAGUGAAACUCCAUCUCAAAAAAAAAAAAAAAAAAGAAAAGAAAAGAAAAGAAAUGCAGUUAUCUAAUUAAACACAUUAACAUUUGCUUAGCUUCUUCACUAGUGCUAAGAGGAAUUAAAGCAAUGAGAUAUGAUUUUUACAAAAAUGGGUAUGAUUUAAAAUCAGUUUUGUCUGAUAGUAUGUUCUGAUGAAACUGGGGGGAAACCAGCAUUCUCAUACAUGCUUGUUGGUGCAUAAACCAACAUGACUAUCUUCAUGGGCAUUUUGGCAAUAUCUAUUAAAGUGAGAAAUAUGCAUUCUCUAUGUCCUUGCACUUUCUCUUUUCCGUAUCUAUCUCAGAAAAAAAAAACAGCCUUAUGAAGUAAAUUUAGGGACACAGUGGAGCAGCUAGCACACAGGUAGAUGCAGAAGCAAACCUCUGCUUUGGGCCUUAGUGUCCAAGCCUGGAAAUAAAAGGGGUUUGAUUAUGUGAUCUGUAAAGUUUUCUUUAGUUCUAAAUAUUACGCAUCUCUUACAUGAAAUUCAGUAAUGAGUGGAUGAAAGCAUUUUAAGUAAUCUUCUACUAUUAACAAGUUCAGUGGUU
rnacentral:lncRNA from 1 species